UGGCGAUGAUGAUAAAACUAAGGCUUGUUUCUCAAAACAUUCGCAGUUGCCGCCUAAGAGCUUUCGCCCUGCCAGGCUUGACAGCUAAUGCUGCUAAUUCCUUCCUUGGAUGUCUGAGCCA
rnacentral:snoRNA from 16 species